rnacentral:rRNA from 1 species
UACGUAGGGUGCGAGCGUUGUCCGGAAUUACUGGGCGUAAAGAGCUCGUAGGUGGUUUGUCGCGUUGUUCGUGAAAUCUCACGGCUUAACUGUGAGCGUGCGGGCGAUACGGGCAGACUAGAGUACUGCAGGGGAGACUGGAAUUCCUGGUGUAGCGGUGGAAUGCGCAGAUAUCAGGAGGAACACCGGUGGCGAAGGCAGAUCUCUGGGCCGUAACUGACGCUGAGGAGCGAAAGCGUGGGGAGCGAACAGG